rfam:Erinaceus europaeus unplaced genomic scaffold scaffold00041, whole genome shotgun sequence
GGAUGUGAGGGUGAUCUGGCUGCGACAUCUGUCAGCCCAUUGAUCUCCAGGGUUGAUUAGGCUGAUCUGGCUGGCUUGGCGGGUGUCCCCUUCCUCCCUCACCACUCCAUGUGCUUCCUUCCCGAAUCUGCAUGCUGGAGUCAAAGAGGCUGGACGGCCUUCCCCUAAUAGAGAUGGACUGGUCUUCAAUGGAGGGUAUGCGAGUAGAUGCAUUCUGCUAGAGCCGCCAAACAAGCUCUCUGUUGUCUUAUUUGUAUUCUAUUGCCACAUUUUUUAUUAUUAGUGAUUUAAUAAUGACCAACAUGAUU